AACCGACACAUAGACAUAUACAGAAACACCUGCAUAUACUAACAUACUAACAUACUUACAGACACAAACACGCAUAAGGACAAUACAUACUGACAUACAUACAUACAGGGGCGUUUUGCCUUGGGCGACAUUUUCCAGGGGGCGGCAAAAAAGCCGCCCCCAAAUGCCCAGGGCAUAUGCCUUGUUAGCCUUGCGGCUAACUGAU